UCCAGCAAUUGCACUAGUAUCAUGGGAGCCCAAGACUGUUUGUGACCCCUACAGCCAGCACUAAUGAUUAUGAGAUGUACAGAAAGCUAUAAGAAGACAUGCUAAGGAAGAAAAUUCAAAAAAUGAUCAAGUUAUGUUUUGUACUCACUGCAAGUCAACAGAAAUUAUGAAUUACACCGAUGAGUGUGGUCAAAUAUUUGAUGUAAACUUCCUGUAAUACAGGUAACCCAGUAAUGGCGGGAAUGCCGCAAAACCAACUUGCAGAAAGACCUCCACUUCUAUACAUGAGAUACUUGAACACUUUUGGUUUCAAAAUUGAAAAUUACUUAGAUGCUACUUGCCAUACAGAAGAAAUGGAGGCUGAAAAGUUUUAUUGGUUCCAUUUAUUUUGACCGAUUGAGAAUAAAACCAAUGAAUGGUAUGUAAAAGAACUUUGGUUUAAAGGUGACAACAUGGACAUUAUCAACUCACAUGAAGCACAGUGAGACUCACAAAUGACUAGAAGAUUCCACAACCCUUCAGGACAAUACUUGCAAUCCAGAGGACUCGGGAGCAGGACCAUCAAUAGGAUGACCUGCAUGACUUAUACAGCUCUUCAGUGGCACUCAUUUACAUAUGAAUCUGAUAUUCUCACAAAGGCAAAAACAAUCUGGGAGUAAGCGGGGAGUACUUGGAUUGUGUUGAAAAGUAUAAUAAUGCAGAAAUUCUGUAAAUGUUUUCUUAAAGUUAAUUUUGACCAUAGUCUUAAA